CCUACGGGAGGCAGCAGUAGGGAAUAUUGCUCAAUGGGGGAAACCCUGAAGCAGCAACGCCGCGUGGAGGAUGAAGGUUUUCGGAUUGUAAACUCCUUUUGUUAGAGAAGAUAAUGGCGGUAUCUAACGAAUAAGCACCGGCUAACUCCGUGCCAGCAGCCGCGGUAAUACGGAGGGUGCAAGCGUUACUCGGAAUCACUGGGCGUAAAGAGCGCGUAGGCGGGAUAGCAAGUCAGAUGUUAAAUCCUAUGGCUUAACCAUAGAACUGCAUUUGAAACUGUUAUUCUAGAGUAUGGGAGAGGUAGGUGGAAUGCUUGGUGUAGGGGUAAAAUCCGUAGAGAUCAAGAGGAAUACUCAUUGCGAAGGCGACCUGCUAGAACAUAACUGACGCUGAUGCGCGAAAGCGUGGGUAGCAAACAGGAUUAGAUACCCCUGUAGUC
rnacentral:rRNA from 1 species